CCUACGGGGGGCAGCAGUGGGGGAUAUUGCACAAUGGGGGGAACCCUGAUGCAGCGACGCCGCGUGAGCGAAGAAGUACCUCGGUAUGUAAAGCUCUAUCAGCAGGGAAGAAAAUGACGGUACCUGACUAAGAAGCCCCGGCUAAAUACGUGCCAGCAGCCGCGGUAAUACGUAUGGGGCAAGCGUUAUCCGGAUUUACUGGGUGUAAAGGGAGCGCAGGCGGCUUGCCAAGUCUGGUGUGAAAACCCGGGGCUCAACCCCGGGCCUGCAUUGGAAACUAGCGGGCUGGAGUGUCGGAGAGGCAGGCGGAAUUCCUAGUGUAGCGGUGAAAUGCGUAGAUAUUAGGAGGAACACCGGUGGCGAAGGCGGCCUGCUGGACGAUGACUGACGCUGAGGCUCGAAAGCGUGGGGAGCAAACAGGAUUAGAUACCCGAGUAGUC
rnacentral:rRNA from 1 species